GGCUCCGUCGUCUAGCGGUUAGGACACAGGGUUCUCAACUCUGUAACACGGGUCCGAGUCCCGUCGGAGCUA
rnacentral:tRNA from 1 species